UUAGAAGCAGCCAUCAUUUAAAGAAAGCGUAAUAGCUCACUGGUCGAGUCGGCCUGCGCGGAAGAUGUAACGGGGCUAAACCAUGCACCGAAGCUGCGGCAGCGACACUAUGUGUUGUUGGGUAGGGGAGCGUUCUGUAAGCCUGUGAAGGUGUGCUGUGAGGCAUGCUGGAGGUAUCAGAAGUGCGAAUGCUGACAUAAGUAACGAUAAAGCGGGUGAAAAGCCCGCUCGCCGGAAGACCAAGGGUUCCUGUCCAACGUUAAUCGGGGCAGGGUGAGUCGACCCCUAAGGCGAGGCCGAAAGGCGUAGUCGAUGGGAAACAGGUUAAUAUUCCUGUACUUGGUGUUACUGCGAAGGGGGGACGGAGAAGGCUAUGUUGGCCGGGCGACGGUUGUCCCGGUUUAAGCGUGUAGGCUGGUUUUCCAGGCAAAUCCGGAAAACCAAGGCUGAGGCGUGAUGACGAGGCACUACGGUGCUGAAGCGACAAAUGCCCUGCUUCCAGGAAAAGCCUCUAAGCAUCAGGUAACAUCAAAUCGUACCCCAAACCGACACAGGUGGUCAGGUAGAGAAUACCAAGGCGCUUGAGAGAACUCGGGUGAAGGAACUAGGCAAAAUGGUGCCGUAACUUCGGGAGAAGGCACGCUGAUAUGUAGGUGAAGCGACUUGCUCGUGGAGCUGAAAUCAGUCGAAGAUACCAGCUGGCUGCAACUGUUUAUUAAAAACACAGCACUGUGCAAACACGAAAGUGGACGUAUACGGUGUGACGCCUGCCCGGUGCCGGAAGGUUAAUUGAUGGGGUUAGCGGUAACGCGAAGCUCUUGAUCGAAGCCCCGGUAAACGGCGGCCGUAACUAUAACGGUCCUAAGGUAGCGAAAUUCCUUGUCGGGUAAGUUCCGACCUGCACGAAUGGCGUAAUGAUGGCCAGGCUGUCUCCACCCGAGACUCAGUGAAAUUGAACUCGCUGUGAAGAUGCAGUGUACCCGCGGCAAGACGGAAAGACCCCGUGAACCUUUACUAUAGCUUGACACUGAACAUUGAGCCUUGAUGUGUAGGAUAGGUGGGAGGCUUUGAAGUGUGGACGCCAGUCUGCAUGGAGCCGGCCUUGAAAUACCACCCUUUAAUGUUUGAUGUUCUAACGUUGGCCCGUAAUCCGGGUUGCGGACAGUGUCUGGUGGGUAGUUUGACUGGGGCGGUCUCCUCCUAAAGAGUAACGGAGGAGCACGAAGGUUGGCUAAUCCUGGUCGGACAUCAGGAGGUUAG
rnacentral:rRNA from 1 species